rnacentral:lncRNA from 1 species
UUUCCUCUCCUCCUUGUAGAUCUCCAUCGGAAUGCAGAGCAAGGAUUUCUCUCCCCCCCCCUUCUUUAAGUUUUGAAUUCCUCAAUGAUUCCCCCCUUCUUCCAGAAAGGCGGCUUAGGAUAAUUAUUUCAGCUUUAUUGAGGGCAGAUUAGGAGAAGUCUGGAUGCUGUGUUUCAAUACGCGUUCUACAUGCCUGGACAAUGUCC